AUUGAACGCUGGCGGCAUGCCUUACACAUGCAAGUCGAACGGCAGCACGGGAGCAAUCCUGCUGGCGAGUGGCGAAUGGGUGAGUAAUACAUCGGAGCGUGCCCAGUAGUGGGGGCUAGCCCGGCGAAAGCCGGCUUAAUACCGCAUGAGACCCGAGGGUGAAAGCGGGGGAUCGCAAGACCUCGCGCUAUUGGAUCGGCAGAUGUCGAAUUAGCUAGUUGGUAGGGUAAAGGCCAACCAAGGCAACGAUCUGUAGUUGGUCUGAGAGGACGACCAGCGACACUGGGACGGAGACACGGCCCAGACUCCUACUGGAGGCAGCAGUGGGGAAUUUUGGACAAUUGGCGCAAGCCUGAUCCAACAAUGCCGCGUGCAGGAAGAAGUCCUUCGGGUUGUAAACUGCUUUUGUCAGGGAAGAAAUCUUCUGGGCUAAUACCCUGGGGGGAUGACGGUACCUGAAGAAUAAGCACCGGCUAACUACGUGCCAGCAGCCGCCGUAAUAC
rnacentral:rRNA from 1 species